GGAGCGAUUUGUCUGGUUAAUUCCGAUAACGAACGAGACUCUGGCAUGCUAACUAGUUACGCGACCCCCGAGCGGUCGGCGUCCCCCAACUUCUUAGAGGGACAAGUGGCGUUCAGCCACCCGAGAUUGAGCAAUAACAGGUCUGUGAUGCCCUUAGAUGUCCGGGGCUGCACGCGCGCUACACUGACUGGCUCAGCGUGUGCCUACCCUACGCCGGCAGGCGCGGGUAACCCGUUGAACCCCAUUCGUGAUGGGGAUCGGGGAUUGCAAUUAUUCCCCAUGAACGAGGAAUUCCCAGUAAGUGCGGGUCAUAAGCUUGCGUUGAUUAAGUCCCUGCCCUUUGUACACACCGCCCG
rnacentral:rRNA from 1 species